AAUAAUAAUAAAAUAAAAACAUUACUGCUGAUCAGUUGUGUCUAAACCACAGAGGGGAGGGGGGCAUAAUGAGGCAUGUCUGACUUCCCAUCCCAUCAUGACUGGGAACUCAGUUUUCAGUUUUUUCUGUGGUACCCUUGGCCAACAGGGAGUUAUUUCAGUUGGUGAGGGGGUGGUUAGGAUUUUAUUUUUAAUUUACAGAUGGAGAAAAAAAAAACACAGAAGAUUGUGAG
rnacentral:lncRNA from 10 species